GUAUAUUAUAAUAGGUUUAAAUAUAAUUUUCACGAAAUUGUUUGAGCUAAAAUUUUAUAUAUAUAGUAUAAAUAUUAAUUGUGGCAAUAAUUAAUUAAAUGAUAUUUUAGGGGUGAAAGGCUAAUCAAAUUCACAUAUAACUUGAUUGUUAGGAAAUAUAUCUAGUAUAGAAAACAAGGCAAAAAUAAUAAGGUUUUUGCAAGGUAUUAAUAAUUAUGUCUCUAAAAUUAUUUGAAUAAUUUCUAUAAAGUUAGGCAUAAUAAUAUUUAAUUAAGGGAGAUUAUACUUCUUACUAACCACUGUUUUAUACUUCUUCAAAAUAUUUAUAAUGUAUAUAUUAGUAUUAUAUUAAAUAUAUUAUAAGGAACUCGGCAAAAAAAAAAUUCUCGACUGUUUAUCAAAAACAUAGCCCCAAGUUAUUAUUUGGGGUUAUCCCUGCUCAAUGGAAAACUAAAUAGCCGCAGUACCUUGACUGUGCAAAGGUAGCAUAAUCAGUUGGCUUAUAAUUGAAGUCUGGCAUGAAAGGGAACACGGGAAUGAGCUGUCUUAUUAAUUUUUUUUGGAAUUUACUUAGUAAGUGAAAAUUCUUACCAAAAGAAAAUAGACGAGAAGACCCUAGAAAUUUUUUACAAUACAAUAUUUACUAUUUUGUUGGGGCGACAAGGUAACAUUAGAACUUACCUAUUAUAUUUGAAUAUAUUUAUAUGAAUAACUAAAUUACUCUAGGGAUAACAGCAUUAUUUAUUAUAAAGUUUGUGACCUCGAUGUUGGACUAGGACAUAUUUUACCUAGAAAGUAUAAUAUAUGGCUCUGUUCGAGCUUUACCUCCUACAUGAUCUGAGUUCAGACCGG
rnacentral:rRNA from 1 species